rnacentral:rRNA from 1 species
AUUGAACGCUGGCGGCAGGCCUAACACAUGCAAGUCGAGCGGAUGACGGGAGCUUGCUCCUUGAUUCAGCGGCGGACGGGUGAGUAAUGCCUAGGAAUCUGCCUGGUAGUGGGGGACAACGUUUCGAAAGGAACGCUAAUACCGCAUACGUCCUACGGGAGAAAGCAGGGGACCUUCGGGCCUUGCGCUAUCAGAUGAGCCUAGGUCGGAUUAGCUAGUAGGUGAGGUAAUGGCUCACCUAGGCGACGAUCCGUAACUGGUCUGAGAGGAUGAUCAGUCACACUGGAACUGAGACACGGUCCAGACUCCUACGGGAGGCAGCAGUGGGGAAUAUUGGACAAUGGGCGAAAGCCUGAUCCAGCCAUGCCGCGUGUGUGAAGAAGGUCUUCGGAUUGUAAAGCACUUUAAGUUGGGAGGAAGGGCAGUAAGCUAAUACCUUGCUGUUUUGACGUUACCGACAGAAUAAGCACCGGCUAACUCUGUGCCAGCCGCCGCCGCGGUAA